GAUGAUUUUCAUGCUGAAGACACUUUGCAUUAGCAGCUCAUGCUUCAGUGCUCUGGGAGAGUUUAUAGCUCUGUCAGUUUAACACUUCAUGACUGAGAGCUGAUCUACAUGAUCACACAUCAAAAAGCCAUCAUGACUUUAAUCAGCAUCUUUAUCUGGACGAUCAUCACCUGCAGCUCAGACUCUUUAGGGCAGGUUGUGUUGACUCAGUCUGGAGAUCAGACAGUGCAGCCUGAUCACACUGUCACUAUUACCUGCAAACAUGAUCCAGCAAUAGACUGUGUUAAAAAAGAUACAACACAAUACUGUAUGUCCUGGUAUCAUCAGAUUCCUGGAGAAGCUCCUAAACUCCUGAUCUCUUCCACGUCUGACAGAGCUUCUGGACUUUCCUCUAGAUUCAGUGGCAGUGACAGUGGAAACAGGGUUGACUUCUCUCUGACCAUCAGUAAAGUCCAGCCUGAAGAUUCAGGAGUUUAUUACUGUCAGAGUCAACACAACACAGGAACUUCCACAAACAUAGUGUGGGUGUUCACACAGUGAAAAAUCAUCGUACAAUAACCUCGUUUUUUAUGCACUGCUGCAGCAGCAGGUGUUGAGGGGGAAAAUUACAUGACCCACUGAGGAGAUA